rnacentral:rRNA from 1 species
CAGUCGCCACGGGAAUACGAAGGGUGCAAGCGUUACUCGGAAUUACUGGGCGUAAAGCGUGCGUAGGUGGUGGUUUAAGUCCGUUGUGAAAGCCCUGGGCUCAACCUGGGAAUUGCAGUGGAUACUGGCAAGCUAGAGUGUGUCAGAGGAUGGUGGAAUUCCCGGUGUAGCGGUGAAAUGCGUAGAGAUCGGGAGGAACAUCAGUGGCGAAGGCGGCCAUCUGGGACAACACUGACGCUGAGGCACGAAAGCGUGGGGAGCAAACAGGAUUAGAUACCCCCGUAGUCCCUGUCUCUUAUAC